rnacentral:lncRNA from 1 species
AAAAGAGAGAAAAGCCGAGAGAGAAAAAAAGAGAAGGUGGAAACUUCGUCGGGCUCCUUCGCCUCUUGCGAAAGUUGCUAUUCUGUAAAUUUUUAUUAUAAUUUGUUUUUGUGUUGAGUUAAGUUUUGUUAUGGCUUUGCGAUAGUUUAGAUUUUGUGUUGUAUGGUUUUGUUGGAACCUGGUUGGAUUAACGCCACUAUGCGAGACUGAAAUCGCUAUAUACCAACUCUUUUCAGUAGUUGUCAAUGCUAUAUUAUUGGAGCUCUAUUUGCAUUCCUUUCACUUUUUGGUUCUUCUGUUGGUCUCAUUUGCUCUUCUCUGAGUUCAUAACUAUCUCCUCUCUACCUCGAUCGACUUCAUUUCUUGCUUGCUAUUUUGUUCCGUUUUGAUCGAAGUGGUAGAUGUGUCAUUGAGGUAGCUUUAUUUUGCCAAAUUGGCUUGUAUGAACUUUAUGGUGUAUUUCAUUGUUAUUAUUAACGGAACCGAUGAUCGUUUGUCAGAGUGACUGGUCGAUUGACGGUAGCAAUGAAAUCUGUGUGCUA